rnacentral:rRNA from 1 species
UUAAGCGACUAAGCGUACACGGUGGAUGCCCUGGCAGUCAGAGGCGAUGAAGGACGUGCUAAUCUGCGAUAAGCGUCGGUAAGGUGAUAUGAACCGUUAUAACCGGCGAUUUCCGAAUGGGGAAACCCAGUGUGUUUCGACACACUAUCAUUAACUGAAUCCAUAGGUUAAUGAGGCGAACCGGGGGAACUGAAACAUCUAAGUACCCCGAGGAAAAGAAAUCAACCGAGAUUCCCCCAGUAGCGGCGAGCGAACGGGGAGCAGCCCAGAGCCUGAAUCAGUGUGUGUGUUAGUGGAAGCGUCUGGAAAGGCGCGCGAUACAGGGUGACAGCCCCGUACACAAAAAUGCACAUACUGUGAGCUCGAUGAGUAGGGCGGGACACGUGGUAUCCUGUCUGAAUAUGGGGGGACCAUCCUCCAAGGCUAAAUACUCCUGACUGACCGAUAGUGAACCAGUACCGUGAGGGAAAGGCGAAAAGAACCCCGGCGAGGGGAGUGAAAAAGAACCUGAAACCGUGUACGUACAAGCAGUGGGAGCACGCUUCGGCGUGUGACUGCGUACCUUUUGUAUAAUGGGUCAGCGACUUAUAUUCUGUAGCAAGGUUAACCGAAUAGGGGAGCCGAAGGGAAACCGAGUCUUAACUGGGCGUUAAGUUGCAGGGUAUAGACCCGAAACCCGGUGAUCUAGCCAUGGGCAGGUUGAAGGUUGGGUAACACUAACUGGAGGACCGAACCGACUAAUGUUGAAAAAUUAGCGGAUGACUUGUGGCUGGGGGUGAAAGGCCAAUCAAACCGGGAGAUAGCUGGUUCUCCCCGAAAGCUAUUUAGGUAGCGCCUCGUGAAUUCAUCUCCGGGGGUAGAGCACUGUUUCGGCAAGGGGGUCAUCCCGACUUACCAACCCGAUGCAAACUGCGAAUACCGGAGAAUGUUAUCACGGGAGACACACGGCGGGUGCUAACGUCCGUCGUGAAGAGGGAAACAACCCAGACCGCCAGCUAAGGUCCCAAAGUCAUGGUUAAGUGGGAAACGAUGUGGGAAGGCCCAGACAGCCAGGAUGUUGGCUUAGAAGCAGCCAUCAUUUAAAGAAAGCGUAAUAGCUCACUGGUCGAGUCGGCCUGCGCGGAAGAUGUAACGGGGCUAAACCAUGCACCGAAGCUGCGGCAGCGACACUAUGUGUUGUUGGGUAGGGGAGCGUUCUGUAAGCCUGUGAAGGUGUGCUGUGAGGCAUGCUGGAGGUAUCAGAAGUGCGAAUGCUGACAUAAGUAACGAUAAAGCGGGUGAAAAGCCCGCUCGCCGGAAGACCAAGGGUUCCUGUCCAACGUUAAUCGGGGCAGGGUGAGUCGACCCCUAAGGCGAGGCCGAAAGGCGUAGUCGAUGGGAAACAGGUUAAUAUUCCUGUACUUGGUGUUACUGCGAAGGGGGGACGGAGAAGGCUAUGUUGGCCGGGCGACGGUUGUCCCGGUUUAAGCGUGUAGGCUGGUUUUCCAGGCAAAUCCGGAAAAUCAAGGCUGAGGCGUGAUGACGAGGCACUACGGUGCUGAAGCAACAAAUGCCCUGCUUCCAGGAAAAGCCUCUAAGCAUCAGGUAACAUUAAAUCGUACCCCAAACCGACACAGGUGGUCAGGUAGAGAAUACCAAGGCGCUUGAGAGAACUCGGGUGAAGGAACUAGGCAAAAUGGUGCCGUAACUUCGGGAGAAGGCACGCUGAUAUGUAGGUGAAGUCCCUCGCGGAUGGAGCUGAAAUCAGUCGAAGAUACCAGCUGGCUGCAACUGUUUAUUAAAAACACAGCACUGUGCAAACACGAAAGUGGACGUAUACGGUGUGACGCCUGCCCGGUGCCGGAAGGUUAAUUGAUGGGGUUAGCGGUAACGCGAAGCUCUUGAUCGAAGCCCCGGUAAACGGCGGCCGUAACUAUAACGGUCCUAAGGUAGCGAAAUUCCUUGUCGGGUAAGUUCCGACCUGCACGAAUGGCGUAAUGAUGGCCAGGCUGUCUCCACCCGAGACUCAGUGAAAUUGAACUCGCUGUGAAGAUGCAGUGUACCCGCGGCAAGACGGAAAGACCCCGUGAACCUUUACUAUAGCUUGACACUGAACAUUGAGCCUUGAUGUGUAGGAUAGGUGGGAGGCUUUGAAGUGUGGACGCCAGUCUGCAUGGAGCCGACCUUGAAAUACCACCCUUUAAUGUUUGAUGUUCUAACGUUGACCCGU